UGGCCUCAUAAUGACCAUUGCAUAUCUGGGUAAAAUAUUUGCGUGACCUUGCUUGUGACGUCACAUGAAUAUCCACAAUCAUCCAAGAUGGCGGACAGCUCACUGAUUUUUAUGAUGAGGGGCAAGGGUAUUUCGUGACUCGUGAUUAGCAAUUAUUCGUGCUUCGUGAUUCGUGAUUUAAAGAAACACCAUUCCGUGAAUCGUGAUUAAUAUGGGUGCCGUGAAUCGUGAAGAGCUAAAGGCGAGCUAGGGUCUUGAAUUUACCAAUAUUUUACCCUAACUUGUGAAUGUUUACGUUUAAAACUCGAC